rnacentral:misc_RNA from 1 species
AAUAGUUAAGAAAAAUUGAGAGAGAAAAGUAAGAAGAAUAAAAUAAAUGAAAACGAUGAAUAUUUUCAAGAUGAAUUUGCCUAGAAAUAUCGAGAGAAAAAGAGAGAGAGAGAGAGAGACAGAGAGAGAGAGAGAGAGAAAGAGAGAGAAGAAAUAAGGAAGAAUAUCAGAUGGAAAUCGAUGAAGACGCAUUGUUAGAAGUUUAUGAUGUAAUUAAUUUUCCAACAAGUCCUAUAUCCGUUCCUGUGAGAACCGAAAAGCAUUCAAUCGACGAUCACGCUAGUAAUGAUCGUCCCACGCGUUAUCGCCCCGCUCGUGAUCGCUCCACUCGUAAUCGCCCCACUCAAGAUGGCUCCGUUCGUGAUCGAUCUGCUGAAGAUGGCUCCGUUCGUGAUCAUCCUGCUCAAGGUGGCUCCGCUCGUGGACCUACUAGUGAGCAUUCUAUUAACGAUCGCCCUAGCCUUCGAAAUUCUGAAAUUCGUCCUGGAGUGGAUCGUACUGGAACUAAUCCUAUUGAAGAUCUCCAGUCUCCAAACGUUCCACAAUGGAGAGGUAGGGGUAGAAGAAGUGGCGUGCGACGUCAACAAGAGAGGUUUAUGAAAUUUUUGUACCAAUUAACUUUCUUCAGCGCAUUAUAAUUGGGGUAAACGAGGAAGGAAACAAGGAUAAGCGGACAUCAAGAAGAAUUUUUUGUGUUAAAUUUCGAAUCUGUAACAACAUUUUAUUGUUAAUAAUAAAAUUUAAAUGAAUUUGUUAAUAAUAAUAAUGUUAAUUUUUAUAUUAUUAAAUUAUAAUGUAAUUCAUUUAAUUAUUAAACAUUAAAAUAAAUUGUUUAAAAAAAUUAUUGUUAUCUAAUACUGUAUGAUUUGUAAUUUUCUGUAGAGCUUCAUUUUCUCUCUUACUUUUGUCAACUUCUGUUUGUAAUUUGUCAAUUUUUUGUGGCUUAUAUUUAAAAAAAAGGUUUUUUAUGGCUGUGCUUAUUAUUUUCUUUUUCUCUCUUUUUUCUUCUCUUUCAGCAGAUAAUCGAGAAACAGCCACAAUGAUUUGAAGGUUCUUUUCUACUAAAAAAAGUACGUAUACAUAUAUACAUAUUAUAUUUCUACAUACUAAUUUAUGGAAAAAGUAAUGUCUUAGAUUGUCUAGAUUAUAUAUAUAAAUAUGUUUAUG